GUGCUCGCUUCAGCAGCACAUAUACUAAAAUUGGAAUAAUACAGAGAAUAUUAGCAUGGCCCCUGAGCAAGGAUGACACACAAAUUCGUGAAGCAUUCCAUUUUUUU
ensembl:snRNA U6 U6 spliceosomal RNA